rnacentral:tRNA from 1 species
GGAGGGGUGGCAGAACGGCUAAUGCACCGGUCUUGAAAACCGGCGGGCGAGAGCCCAUGCGGGUUCGAAUCCCGCCCCCUCCG